rnacentral:rRNA from 1 species
UUGCCCUAGUAACGGCGAGUGAAGCGGCAACAGCUCAAAUUUGAAAUCUGGCGCAAGCCCGAGUUGUAAUUUGUAGAGGAUGCUUCUGGGUAGCGGCCGGUCUAAGUUCCUUGGAACAGGACGUCAUAGAGGGUGAGAAUCCCGUAUGUGACUGGCUUGCACCCUCCACGUAGCUCCUUCGACGAGUCGAGUUGUUUGGGAAUGCAGCUCUAAAUGGGAGGUAAAUUUCUUCUAAAGCUAAAUACCGGCCAGAGACCGAUAGCGCACAAGUAGAGUGAUCGAAAGAUGAAAAGCACUUUGGAAAGAGAGUUAAAAAGCACGUGAAAUUGUUGAAAGGGAAGCGCCCGCAACCAGACUUUGCGGCAGUGUUCCGCCGGUCUUCUGACCGGUCUACUCGCUGUCGUGAGGCCAUCAUCGUCUGGGACCGCUGGAUAAGACCUUAGGAAUGUAGCUCCCUUCGGGGAGUGUUAUAGCCUCUGGUGAUGCAGCGCGUCUCGGGCGAGGUCCGCGCUUCGGCAAGGAUGAUGGCGUAAUGGUUGUCGGCGGCCCGUCUUGAAACACGGACCAAGGAGUCUAACAUCUAUGCGAGUGUUCGGGUGUCAAACCCCUACGCGUAAUGAAAGUGAACGGAGGUGGGAACUUUUUGUGCACCAUCGACCGAUCCUGAUGUCCUCGGAUGGAUUUGAGUAAGAGCAUAGCUGUUGGGACCCGAAAGAUGGUGAACUAUGCCUGAAUAGGGUGAAGCCAGAGGAAACUCUGGUGGAGGCUCGCAGCGGUUCUGACGUGCAAAUCGAUCGUCAAAUUUGGGUAUAGGGGCGAAAGACUAAUCGAACC